GACUCGGCGUACCGCUCAGUAACACGUGGGUAACCUGCCCUAUGCUGGGGAAUAACCUCGGGAAACUGAGAAUAAUGCCCCAUAGUUCACUACGCCUGGAACGGUGAGUGGAUGAAAGCUCCGGCGGCAUAGGAUGGGCCUGCGGCGUAUCAGGUCGUAGGGGGUGUAACGUACCCUCUAGCCAUCGACGCGUACGGGUGUUGGGAGACAUAGCCCGGAGAUGGAUUCUGAGACACGAAUCCAGACCCUACGGGGUGCAGCAGGCGCGAAAACUUGGCAAUGCGAGAAAUCGUGACCAGGGAACUCCAAGUGGCUGGGGUAAGACCCAGUCUUUUCUUGACUCUUCAAAGGUCUUGGAAUAAGAGGUGGGUAAGGACGGUGCCAGCCGCCGCGGUAAUACCGGCGCCUCAAGUGGUAGUCGAUUUUAUUGGGCCUAAAACGUCCGUAGCCUGUUUGGUACAUUCGUGGGUAAAUCAACCAGCUCAACUGGUUGAAUUCUGCGAGCACGGCCAGACUUGGGACCGGGAGAGGUGUGGGGUACGCUCAGGGUAGGGGUAAAAUCCUGUCAUCCUGAGCGGACCACCUGUUGCGAAGGCGCCACACUAGAACGGAUCCGACGGUCAGGGACGAAGCCUAGGGGCACGAACCGGAUUAGAUACCCGGGUAGUCCUAGGUGUAAACGCUGUGGACUUGGUGUUGGGGAUUCUCAGAGGAUUCUCAGUGCCGAAGCGAAGGUGAUAAGUCCACUGCCUGGGGAGUACGGUCGCAAGGCUGAAACUUAAAGGAAUUGGCGGGGGAGCACCGCAACCUGAGGAU
rnacentral:rRNA from 1 species